CAAGACAUUGAAUCAAACUCUUCCAAUCAGACAAGCAUGAUUGCAAUUGAGCUCAAUGACCUGUUCAAACACAGCAGCAUAAAUGCGACAUUUGCCAGCUGCAGAUUACAGUCAUUCAGCAUGGUCGAUGGUGACAGAAGCACAGUGACGGCAAUGUGUUCCUUCAAAAACGAUUCUACCAUUC